CCCUCCCCAUGAGGUCAUUCUGGCAGCUGAGAAUGGCUGAACUAGAAGUGAGCUUAGACAAUGUGGUCUCCUUCCAGUCAGCCAUUCCAUGUAUCCAGCUGUACCACUGGGAGGUUCUGUAAGACAUAGGGAAUUCCUGCAUGGUCAAGUCACAGCAGUGAGACGAGACUGUGGAGUUUAGCAUUACUGAGCCAAGGUGCCUGCCCUUCCACAUGGUGGUUUGGUGAAGUAGAGUUUGUAUGUACAGAUCCCUUCAUUAUGCUUCCACCAUGAUGUCUGAGUUGGGAUACUGCAGAAGAAGGAAUGGCCUGUGAUG